rnacentral:lncRNA from 1 species
CACUUCUGUUUCGUUUUCCCUCCAACAGCAGUUGCUGCAAAGCUGAAGCUAAAGACAAAUGCCUCCUACAGUGCCACUUCCACAGAUGACACACUUAUGACUCUUUCCAUAUUGGGAACUGAAUCACUGGGUGCCUGGUGGUAUAUACACUCUGAAAUGGGUGAAUGGAACUACNUCGCUUGGGGGAAACAAGACUGAAGGAGGGGUAACAUGACUGCACAUCUCAAGUACCCAGCUCGGAUGUCUGAACCUGUGGCCCUCUCGUACAGCUGCAGCCGGGGCUAGUCUGGAGAAACGCAAUUUGAGACUGCUGUUCUCUGAGAUGGAUUUUCUGAAAAAUGGGUAAAAUCCAGUUAGAAAGCAUUGUUUAUUCCUAAAGCUGCUUGAAGGUUCUAAUUGAUUGACACAUUAUGGGAGGCUGGGUAAAGCCAGUGAGUGACAAAACAGUAUGGCCAAUUGCAUUGUAUUGCUGAGUGGGUGGGGCAUAGGCUAGGCUACUUGGAAUUACUUGAGGCAGAAUAUGUAACACNUGUGCUAGAAAGAGAUUGGAGAAAGGAGAU